CACCACACACAGUCUUAUUCUCCCUGGUAUGAGUGCAGAGUGGAGGUAGGCUACACCACACACAGUCUUAUUCUCCCUGGUAUGAGUGCAGAGUGGAGGUAGGCUACACCACACACAGUCUUAUUCUCCCUGGUAUGAGUGCAGAGUGGAGGUAGGCUACACCACACACAGUCUUAUUCUCCCUGGUAUGAGUGCAGAGUGGAGGUAGGCUACACCACACACAGUCUUAUUCUCCCUGGUAUGAGUGCAGAGUGGAGGUAGGCUACACCACACACAGUCUUAUUCUCCCUGGUAUGAGUGCAGAGUGGAGGUAGGCUACACCACACACAGUCUUAUUCUCCCUGGUAUGAGUGCAGAGUGGAGGUAGGCUACACCACACACAGUCUUAUUCUCCCUGGUAUGAGUGCAGAGUGGAGGUAGGCUACACCACACACAGUCUUAUUCUCCCUGGUAUGAGUGCAGAGUGGAGGUAGGCUACACCACACACAGUCUUAUUCUCCCUGGUAUGAGUGCAGAGUGGAGGUAGGCUACACCACACACAGUCUUAUUCUCCCUGGUAUGAGUGCAGAGUGGAGGUAGGCUACACCACACACAGUCUUAUUCUCCCUGGUAUGAGUGCAGAGUGGAGGUAGGCUACACCACACACAGUCUUAUUCUCCCUGGUAUGAGUGCAGAGUGGAGGUAGGCUACACCACACACAGUCUUAUUCUCCCUGGUAUGAGUGCAGAGUGGAGGUAGGCUACACCACACACAGUCUUAUUCUCCCUGGUAUGAGUGCAGAGUGGAGGUAGGCUACACCACACACAGUCUUAUUCUCCCUGGUAUGAGUGCAGAGUGGAGGUAGGCUACACCACACACAGUCUUAUUCUCCCUGGUAUGAGUGCAGAGUGGAGGUAGGCUACACCACACACUGUCUUAUUCUCCCUGGUAUGAGUGCAGAGUGGAGGUAGGCUACACCACACACAGUCUUAUUCUCUCUUUGACCCUUUUACUCAGUUAACACAUACAGAGGUGUUAACUUUUCCGUGUGUGUGUGUGUGUGUGUGUGUGUGUGUGUGUGUGUGUGUGUGUGUGUGUGUGUGUGUGUGUGUGUGUGUGUGUGUGUGUGUGUGUGUGUGUGUGUGUGUGUGUGUGUGUGUGUGUGUGUGUGUGUGUGUGUGUGUGUGUGUGUGUG